UGGGGAAUAUUGGACAAUGGGCGCAAGCCUGAUCCAGCAAUGCCGCGUGUGUGAAGAAGGCCUUCGGGUUGUAAAGCACUUUUAUCAGGAGCGAAACGCUGUCGGCUAAUACCCGGCGGAACUGACGGUACCUGAGGAAUAAGCACCGGCUAACUUCGUGCCAGCAGCCGCGGUAAUACGAAGGGUGCAAGCGUUAAUCGGAAUUACUGGGCGUAAAGCGUGCGUAGGCGGUUUCUUAAGUCUGCUGUGAAAUCCCCGGGCUCAACCUGGGAAUGGCAGUGGAUACUGGGAGGCUAGAGUGUGUCAGAGGGUGGUGGAAUUCCCGGUGUAGCGGUGAAAUGCGUAGAGAUCGGGAGGAACAUCAGUGGCGAAGGCGGCCACCUGGGACAACACUGACGCUGAGGCACGAAAGCGUGGGGAGCAAACAGGAUUAGAUACCCUGGUAGUCCACGCCCUAAACGAUGCGAACUGGAUGUUGGUCUCAACUCGGAGAUCAGUGUCGAAGCUAACGCGUUAAGUUCGCCGCCUGGGGAGUACGGUCGCAAGACUGAAACUCAAAGGAAUUGACGGGGUCGUAGCUG
rnacentral:rRNA from 1 species